AAACUAACAAGGAUUCCCCUAGUAACGGCGAGUGAAGCGGGAACAGCUCAAAUUUGAAAUCUCACAGGGCUACCUGUGCGAAUUGUAGUUUAGAGAAGCGUUUUCGGGGGCAACUUGGGUAUAAGUCCUUUGGAAUGAGGCAUCAUAGAGGGUGAGAAUCCCGUUUAUGAUCCAAUGUUUGCUCCUAUGUGAUACGCUUUCCAAGAGUCAGGUAGUUUGGGAUUGCUGCCUAAAAUGGGUGGUAAAUACCAUCUAAAGCUAAAUAUUGGCGAGAGACCGAUAGCGAACAAGUACCGUGAGGGAAAGAUGAAAAGAACUUUGAAAAGAGAGUUAAACAGUACGUGAAAUUGCCAAAAGGGAAACGCUUGGAACCAGUAUUGUUUACAGGUAAUCAGCUAUACAGCCUGGAAAGGUUAGUAUGGUGCACUUGCUUGUGAACAGGUCAACAUCAGUUUGGUUUGGGGUAAAAAGCCAGAGGAAGGUGACUUGGACUUCGGUCUGAGUGUUAUAGCCUCUGGUCAUGCCUUGGACUGGACUGAGGUCUGCAGCAUUCUUUGGGUACCUGAUUGCCUCCUGACCCUUGGUUUUAGACAGCUUGCUGACUGAGAUUAAGGUUAGGGAGCCCAGUUAGCU
rnacentral:rRNA from 1 species